AGUUUUUAUAAUGUAGUCAAAUGUAGUCAAAUGUAGUCAAAUGUAGUUAAGGUUAUAUGAAGUGUUUCCAGUGAAUUUUUAAAUGUAGUCAAAUGUAGGUAAUUGUAGUUAAUUGUAAUUAUUUGUAGUUAAUCAUAGACAGUUGAAAAAUAUGUCUAAAUAAUGUAUUUAUUUGUAUCUACUAGAUGGUAUGAGUUGCUGAAAACCGCAAAUGGCAUUUCUAUGCAACGUCAAUUCAUUAUUCUUCAUUGUUCAAGACAAGAAGUUUUAUCCGAAAACAUAACUGAGCAAAUGUACUGCAACAAUGAAGAAAUAAUGUUAAGUUGUGAUUUAGCAAGCCUUUUAAACACUUUUCUUUCCCAAUCAUUAGAAGCAAGAGCGUUUUCGGGGGGAAAAAAAGUUCACGACUUAAAUUAUCCCAAAAAAAGAAAAAAUAGAUACCUACUAAUAACGUUCAUGAAUGAAUACUAUUUUGAAAUCACCUAAGUUUGAGAGUAAUAGAAAAUCUGAGUAAGUCGUGGAACAGUUUUAGAUCCGAAAUUUGAGAACUUUGAUACUACAAUUUGGAAAUUUGAAAAUUUUGAACACAGGAACAAGGGUAACGAUGUGAUCUCCUGUAUGCUAAUUAGUUCUUUAAUAAAUACAUUACAUAAAUACAUAUUAGUAGGAGAGAUUCAAUUAGGAGCAUUUAAGAUUUUACCUUAACUGAUUUAGCAUUUAUUUGGUACAAAAUCAAAGAGUAAUUAGGAGCCAUAAAUACAGAAGUUAUUUUAGCAUACAAUUCAUUUAACAUAUAUUUGAGCCUUAAUAAAAGGCGUUAUUUUAGGAGGCAACAUCUGGAAAGAUUCCGUUUGGUACAUAUGGUGUAACAAAAACAUGGAAUAUGAGGGUAAUAAACAAACAAUACACAAUAAUGGUAGUAAGAUUUGUUAUAUGGGAUGUAUAGGUAAAAAUCCCUUACUUAAAACAGGUUUCUUAGAAAAAACACACACUGAUGAUGGUUGGGCUCGAAAUUGAGCCUAAAUGAAAGAACAGAGAUAGCCCGAGACUGGCCACAGCCCAGGUAGCCCCAUUAGGGCCAACUCCAAACUCCAAAUGCUUGAAAAUUAUAAUUCAAAUGCUAAGGCCCUAAUGAGGCCCACCUGACUAUAAUUGACAUACAACAACAUGAUAUGCAACAACAUGAUAUGCAAGCCCCAGAAAUCACAACACCCAAGAAACCAUGUUAUCUACUUUUAAAUCAUUGUUUUACUAUUAAUGUCAAUAGCAUAAAUCUAGAAUUUAAAACUACUCAUUAAUUAUAGUGAAUUCUCAUGUACAACUAUCCUAAUUAGUGCUGAAACAGUUUAAAGUUACAAUAAUUAUGAAACAUGCAGUCCCUGCUCGAAUUAUAACUGUCAAAAUGACACAAACUUAAACUAAACCAAUAAAGUGUUCCACAAUCGACUCAGGCCUGCAAUAUAGAACAUUCAAACAUUCUAAAUGUUCAAGCACAAAGACCUUCAGCCCAAAUCAUAAAUCAACAUAAGAGGCUAAAAGACUAAACCAUAACUUGAAGAUGAAAUAUAAGAACAAUAUCAUGAUCGAAUGGAAAACACAUAAAAAGAACUCAAAUUAAUACAUGGACAUGAAAAGACUCUAAAUAGCAUAAGUUAAUAUUCAGCAAAACUGAUUUUUAUGCUCAAAUUUUCAACUUGGUUACAUGUUUAGAUUUGCACCUCACAUAUCAUUAGAGGUCAAGAAGUACAUGGAGGUCAAAAUAAAUAAAAGAGAAAGAGGAUUUUAGCAACAGCACGAUAAUGAGUAGUUCAACAUAUCAACACAACCAUAUUCAGCUCCCUUAAAUCAUUUUUAACCCCAAAUAAAUCAGAAAUCCCAUAAAACUUUUAAGCUCUUACUAACAAUGAAAACCAAAGAGAAAUUUCAAACAAUUCUCAACCAAAAAAGGAUACAGAACUUUGAGUAUUUUUUCAGGGAAUUAAUGGUUGCUUAAAAAUAGAGGAAACGGAUCCUUAUAUAGGCACUUCUAGGGCAGCCCUAGCCUGGUUAGCUAAUUUUUCUUCUACCCCUUUAAUUUUGUUAUUUCACCCCUUAAACGAGCUAUCCCUAUUUCUUGUCAUGCAAGCCUUGUCUUAUCCUCUAGAACCUUCUAUGCUAAUAGAAAAAUAUUCCUCAAUUCCUAAAUAUCCAAAACAACUCUUGACACCCCUGUAUUUUACUCUUCAAUACUCACCCAAGAUCCAAAGAAACCUGUGGAUCUUUCUUGUCCGCCAACAACCCAACAAACUCUAAUGGAUUUAAUAAAAGUGAAACCUUAAGACUAGCUUAUGUAAUAAACAAACGAGAUUAAAACAAUGCAAACCGCGAUUGACCAUAAAAUAAAACAUGCUCAAAAUGUAUUAAUAAUUAACUGAUUUGAACAACAAUAAAAUGAAAGCAGCCUGUACGAUGAAUUCCCUAAACUAAGAAAUUAUCAUAAACAUGAAUAAUGCUUAAUUUAAUUCAAACAACUGGAUAACAACAAACAAUUGGAGAAAAUAAAUAACCCAAACAAAUUUAGAUGAACGGAUAUUUAAAAAUUGAAAGAGGAAGUCAGAAAACAAACAAAGAAAGUAUAAAAACAAAGAGAACAAAUGAGGCACUGGCUAAGCACUCAAAUACUCUAUUAAUCCAGAGAUUAUGGCUACCCUAGUUCAUUUUUUAUUUUACGGUCGGAAGACAAGGAACAUAAAGAAACAGAUUAGAGAAACGUGGAAGAAAAGAAAGGAAAAUAGGAGGAGAAACAAUAGAAAGAGAUAGAGGGAAAAAUAAAAGAAACAAAGGAAAUACCUGGAGAUUGACUUAAAGAACUCUGACCGCCCCGAUUUAAGCCCAAAAUUAAUGUUAAUCGCAUGUUCUUGUUGAGAACAAACGACCAAAAUCAAUUACAUGCUAAAUCAUCCUUGAAACUUGAAAGCUUGGGGAUUAAACCUUGCAUGCCACAGAUCCGAAGUUGGGUGCUAGGAGACUUUAGGGUUUUUGGGAACUAAUUUUAAUCUAAAAUCCAAGCCGUUUGAGAGAGAUUUGAGGGACAUAGAUUAGGGAUUUGGAAAGAAGAAGAAAUGAGGGUUCUGGGGUGUUAGUUUGCGAGUGGAAUGGAGACUUUUAUGGCAUCGCCAGCGGCAGAGGUGAUAGGGUUCUUAGGUUGGCGGUCUCUAAGCUUUCUAUGCUUGGACUUGAGAGAGACGGAAUGGGGAGUCUCAAAUGGUCGGCAGUCUCUAGGGUUUCUAUGCUUGGACUUGAGAGAGACGGAAUGAGGAGUCUCAAAUGAGGGGGUUCGGGGGCUUCAAACAGUUAAAUACCAAAGGGGGCCCUAGUUCCGGUCCAUCGAAUC
rnacentral:lncRNA from 1 species